rnacentral:rRNA from 1 species
GAUGAACGCUGGCGGCGUGCUUAACACAUGCAAGUCGAACGAAGCACUUUAUUUGAUUUCCUUCGGGACUGAUUAUUUUGUGACUGAGUGGCGGACGGGUGAGUAACGCGUGGGUAACCUGCCUUGUACAGGGGGAUAACAGUGGGAAACGGCUGCUAAUACCGCAUAAGCGCACAGCAUCUCAUGAUGCUGUGUGAAAAACUCCGGUGGUAUAAGAUGGACCCGCGUUGGAUUAGCUAGUUGGUGAGGUAACGGCCCACCACGGCGACGAUCCAUAGCCGACCUGGGAGGGUGACCGGCCACAUUGGGACUGAGACACGGCCCAAACUCCUACGGGAGGCAGCAGUGGGGAAUAUUGCACAAUGGGCGAAAGCCUGAUGCAGCGACGCCGCGUGAGCGAAGAAGUAUUUCGGUAUGUAAAGCUCUAUCAGCAGGGAAGGUAAUGACGGUACCUGACUAAGAAGCACCGGCUAAAUACGUG